GAGCUCAACUUUGGAAUCGCUCCGGCGAGUUGUAGUCUGGAGGUGGCCACCACGAGGUGUUCUAGCAGCAGGCAAGUCCUUUGGAACAAGGCGCCAGCGAGGGUGACAGCCCCGUACCUGCUUUUGCUAGUGCUUCCUGUGGCCCACCGACGAGUCGAGUUGUUUGGGAAUGCAGCUCUAAGUGGGUGGUAAAUUCCAUCUAAGGCUAAAUAUUGGCGAGAGACCGAUAGCGAACAAGUACAGUGAUGGAAAGAUGAAAAGCACUUUGAAAAGAGAGUGAAACAGUACGUGAAAUUGUUGAAAGGGAAGGGCUUGCACCCAGACACGGUUUCGGCCGGGCCAGCAUCAAGUAGAACGGGGUUAAAAGACUUGGGGAAUGUAGCUACUUCGGUAGUGUUAUAGCCCUUGGUGAUGACCCCUGUUUUGCUUGAGGACAGCGGUCUCUAGGAUGCUGGCGCAAUGGUUGCAAGCCACCCG
rnacentral:rRNA from 1 species